GACGAACGCUGGCGGCGUGCUUAAUACAUGCAAGUCGAACGGAAAGGCCAUGCUCUUGUGGGUUGCUCGUGAGGCGAACAGGUGAGAGUAACGCGUGUAAACUCUCCUUUUCAUUGGGGUAACUUCUGGGAAAUCGGGCUCAUAUCCGAUAUGAGAUCCUGCAGCACGGUGGGGAUUGGUAAAAUACGGCGGUUCGGGAUGGUAUAGCGGCUUAUCAGCUUGUUGGUGGGGUAGUGGCUUACCAAGGCUUUGACGGGUAGCCGGCCUGAGAGGGUGACCGGCCACAAUGGGACUGAGAUACGACGCAGACGCCUACGUGAGGCAGCAGUGGAAAGUAUUGCGGAAUGGGCGGAAGCCUGAUACAACGAUGUCGCGUGCGGAAUGACGUCCUUUUGGUUAGAAACCGCUUUCUCCGUUAACGAACCGUUAGUGACGGUAAUUAGUAAGAAAGCACCGGCUAACUACGUG
rnacentral:rRNA from 1 species